AGUGCUGGCGCAAGUCGUCUUGCGCCAGGCGACUGGGUCUGAGGAGGCAGGAGUUAUUCAUUCCCUUAAGCUUUCAGGCCGGGGGGAGAAUCUUUCAGGUGGUAGCUGCAAGAACUCUUAGUAUGUUGACCUCACCUCUGCCUUCCACAUACCACUACCAGUGAGGAAUUAGGAAUGCAUGAGAAGAGUGUCCAAGAAGAGUGUCCUCAUUCAUGCAAGGCUUAAGAGAGAAUGCAGGUCAACAUCACCAUGUCAAUCAGAGAAUACUUCUGUUGGGUUGAAUGACUCUCUGCCCCCAGGUGCAGAUGCUGAGAGCACUUUCUAGUCAAGUCCUGCAUGUUCAUUUCUGUCUCAAGUCAGCUUCUCUGAGAAUCCAAUUUAUAAAAAUAUAUUUGUGAAUGUAUAAGUAAAGUGACUUGGAUUUUGUCUACGUACAAGGACUUCUAUGCCUGCAUAAAACAGAACCUUGUACAGUCCUGAGAAUGAGCCUGGACCAACUUGCUAGAAGAUGAGAAUGGGUAUGAAAGAGAGCUGAGUCCUUCCUACACAGGACAUCGUAGACCAGCCACCUCCAGCCAGCCUGCUAGUUGACCAAGGUGCAUAGGUCAGCUCUGCCUGAUAGAAGUUGGGCCUUAGUCCAGAGGACAUACUAAGCCAAUCUACAGACUUGUAAACUAAAACAAAUGGACAUUGCUUUAAACCACUGAGUUCUGUGGUUGUUUGUGAUAUAGAAUUAUUAUGGUAAUAGAUAACUGGUACAUGAUGGAAAUGCUACAAUUCUGGAAAUCUAAGUGUCCUGACCUUAGAUUUGUGUUAGGAAUCUCAAAAUCACAUAAAGCAAUGUAACUUUA
ensembl:lncRNA LINC01524 long intergenic non-protein coding RNA 1524